rnacentral:rRNA from 1 species
GUCCGCGCUGUAAACGAUGAGUGCUAGACGGUGGAGGUAUUGACCCCUUCGCUGCCGAAGCUAACGCGUUAAGCACUCCGCCUGGGGAGUACGGUCGCAAGACUAAAACUCAAAGGAAUUGACGGGGCCCGCACAAGCGGUGGAGCAUGUGGUUUAAUUCGACGCAACGCGCAAAACCUUACCUGGGUUAAAUCCGCCGGAACCUGUCUGAAAGGAUGGGGUGCCCUUCGGGGAAUCGGUGAGAAGGUGCUGCAUGGCUGUCGU